GGAUAUAGUUCAAUGGUAGAGCAUGUUUAGCAUGCAUGAGGUCCUGGGUUCAAUACCCAGUACCUCCA
rnacentral:tRNA from 1 species